rnacentral:rRNA from 1 species
UACAGAGGUCUCAAGCGUUGUUCGGAUUCAUUGGGCGUAAAGGGUGCGUAGGCGGCGCGGUAAGUCGGGUGUGAAAUCUCGGAGCUUAACUCCGAAACUGCAUUCGAUACUGCUGUGCUUGAGGACUGGAGAGGAGACUGGAAUUUACGGUGUAGCGGUGAAAUGCGUAGAUAUCGUAAGGAAGACCAGUGGCGAAGGCGGGUCUCUGGACAGUUCCUGACACUGAGGCACGAAGGCCAGGGGAGCAAACGGG